CGCACCACCUCCUUCCGGUGCACAGGGAGCCCCCCCACCACCCGACCUCCUCCUGGGAACACAGCGACCCUCACACCUUCUGCUAGGAGCACAGGCCAUCCGUGAGUUUUUGCUGAAGUACACAGAAAUGUGUAGUGAAUCCUCAACAAUUGAAGACAUGUUUCAUUUCCCACCCUGGGCACCAGCCAGUCCCCCGGAGAAGGGACCUCAGAAGCCUCACCAAUGGCUGUGCAGCAGUCAGACCCUGAGUGACUGCACAGAGCAGAGCUCUCUGCUGACAGCUGCGCAGCUUCCGUGAAUGAGAAAUGAGCCUUCACUGCCUGCAGUCACCAAGGCCUGGAGGCCUCUCUGUUGAAGAAGCAAGCAGACAGGUGGAGAAGGCUGUGGGUGGAGAAGUUGGAAGCUCAGUUCUGAGCCUUUUGAGCUCUCUAUUAGACGACCAAGUGCAGACAUCAAGCAGGAACUUGAUACAUGAGUGAGCAGUCUGCAAGUGCGUGAACUUUAUGUGAUGGAAAAUGAUAACCCUCCCCCAAAAAUACAACUCAGUAGAUAAAUUGAACUAUUUUGAGUUUAAGAAGCUCACUUUCUAAAGAGCAAGCCAUACAAUAAAAUUAAUGUGAAGAAAAACUAUGCAAAUUAACAUGAUGCCAUCAUUUGUAAUGUUAUGUGACUAAACCUUUCGAUCUCAAUGAUAGUUUGUAAUACAUUGGUUAGUUCAGAAAAGUGCUAAGGCACGGCGAAGCUGCUGAGGCAUCCCAGAAUCCUGCUCUGUACACUGUCAUAAAAAUGAUAAUAUUAAAAGCCACGAUCUUUAAAAUGAAGAUGACCCCAUGAUAUUUGGGCAUCGGAAUUCCCCAAGCUCUUACAAUUCUUUAAUUUCAACUUUGAAUGGUGUUUCAUUUUCAGCAACCACCUGCAUAAAUAAUUCAUUCUCUUUAAAGAUGCUGGGAACUAAGCAACUGGGAUAAUUGACAAUUUUGAAAGGAAGAAGAUGAAUGUGCAUGUUAUGGAAAGGUCGUGUUUCCUAUAAGGUUUUUCUCUCUGAGGAUUUGUGUGGUGCUGAAUGAAAAAAUAUUAAAUCAACUAAAAUAUUUUUCUUGAAAAUCUCGUAAAAUUACAAAAUAAAGUUUCUUUUGUGUGAAGUUAAAUAGAAAUGAAAAUUAUAAGUGGAAUAUUUAGAAUAUAUAAUGCAUCCUCUGUGUAGAUAAUUUUAAUCUAGUCCGGUCUUUUAAAGUCAACAUAGUUUUUUUGUUUCAUAUUAAUUAAAUAUAGAUGUGAUUUGUCAAAUUGAAAGUUUCAAAAUUUUUUAGAAAGAGACUGUACGCUGCUAUACAUAGUAAGUACAAGGAUGGUAAGUUAGCCUUAGGGGUGUUGGCUGUUGACUGGUGAUAUUAAAUACAACUGAUUUCCCCUUUGUCAUACUGGAGCCUUGUUCCAUUUACAAAGAGAUAACAGUGUAAGUCCAGCAAACCAGCUACUUACUUUUAAAUGAAAUUUUCAGCAUUUACUGAGGCCUCAGGUACCAGACAUGC
rnacentral:lncRNA from 1 species